AAUGGCAUAACGAGGGCUUAGCUGUCUCCUCUUUCAAGUCAAUGAAAUUGAUCUUUCCGUGCAGAAGCGGGAAUACAAACAUAAGACGAGAAGACCCUAUGGAGCUUCAGACACUAAGACAGCUUACGUUAAACACCCCAAAAUAAAGGGAACAAACUAAACAAGCUCUGCCCUAAUGUCUUUGGUUGGGGCGACCGCGGGGAACUAAAUAACCCCCACGUGGAGCGGGAGAACUCCUCCUACAGCUAAGAGCUACAGCUCUAAUAAACAGAAAUUCUGACCAGCAAGAUCCGGCAAUGCCGAUCAACGGACCGAGUUACCCUAGGGAUAACAGCGCAAUCCUCUUUUAGAGCCCAUAUCGACAAGGGGGUUUACGACCUCGAUGUUGGAUCAGGACAUCCUAAUGGUGCAGCCGCUAUUAAGG
rnacentral:rRNA from 1 species